rnacentral:tRNA from 1 species
GGGACCGUAGCUCAGUCUGGGAGAGCACACGGCUGAAGACCGUGGUGUCGCGGGUUCAAAUCUCGCCGGUCCCA